rnacentral:lncRNA from 1 species
GUUUUCAGGCGGCCUCCUGAGAAAUGUUUGCAAUUGUAAGGCGUCUCUCUCAUCCAGGUUUACCCAGAUUCGCAAACUAUGGCGACAAACAACCAUAGCAGAAGCAUGUCCGGAUUAUUUCACAUAUAUCACAAAAUCCUGCAAAGCAGGUAACGAGGAGACCAAAGGCCUAGUUAUUUAUGGAGAUCUGGGGCCACAGCAGAGCUCCUCAUGGCAGGAUAAGGCAGUGGAAAGCAGACUCAACGGUUAACCCACAGUCCUCCUCAGCAAGCUGGGAGAAGCAACUGAUGCCACUUAGAUGCUUAGACCGGGCCUUCUGGGAGAGAUCUGGCCCAAGGAGCAGCCGGCAGCUUGACACAGUGACCAAUUGGAAGCACAGCAGCCACACGCCAUGAAACAAGGUGAUCAUCUUCACUCAUUUCCUGAGGCCAGAGCCUUCCUUACGCAGGACAUGGAUACCCCAGUCCCAGCUGUGCUGAAGCGUCAGGAAGCCUCCCCCGACCCCACCCUGAACAACAGUGAGGGGGGUUAGGUGUCCUCAAAAGAUCUACUCUGUCAACUGGAGUUGUUGAGAAACUCAGGAAAGGGAACUAAAAAGGAUAAGAAAGUGGUGCAUUCCAGUGUCUUCCUGUUCUCUGUUGCAGAGAGCCAGCUGGUGGACCGCAGAGACAGACUUCCAGCCAGGGCCAAGCCCUUCAGGAAGGGAGUCAUGCACCAAACUCAGCUAACAGACCACCAGGGCACCACUGGGUCUCC